CAAGCAUGCACACAAUAUACAGAACUACCAAGGACAAGGUGUUUUGUUGGCUUUAUUUUUUAUUAUUGCACUAUAGCAGCACCCUUUUAUCUACUCUGGGCUGUUAGAUACCAUUUUGAGAUACCUGCUGGUGGCAAUAUUUUCACAUUGGUCUAAUUGUAGGAAAAUCAUUGUGCAGACACAAGAUGUGCUUUCUGAGGUGUACCCAGGAAAGGAAAGCUUUACAGAUGCCUCGUUCCAUUUCUCAUAGGCCAUCCAGAUAGAAGGAUAAGAGUAGAAGAGCACUGUGGGUCUGUUCAGGAAGUCUGAACAGCUGAACCAAUAGAAAAAAAAAGAUGAAUCAUCUUGUUUCAAAACUGCUCCUUGGGAGGAUUUGCUACCACAUUGUUGUUGCAGGACCAGCUGGUAUAGAGGACCAAAGGCUUCCUGGGCAAGCCACCGUGGGGCUCCCUGUUCCCCAGGUCUGCGGAGAUGACCCCCUCACUCAAGACUCGCCCUCCACGAGCACAGACUCUGGCAACAGAGAACAUCAUGCCAGUCUAAAUAAAGGUCUUCCCAGCUGUGAUGGGGAAGAGGUCAUCUGCUGUGAUGAAACUGAUGUGAUUCUGGACCAUCGUUUGGAAGCAUGAGCACCCGGUCCAGCAUGUCCAUGUCCUGAGGGAGUCACAUACUGAUCACUUAAGAGCAAUGCCUUUUAUUUUUUCUUAUACAUUCUCCAUGUCAUAUCUUUACCAUCUAUUAACCUGAUAGGAUUAAUUAGUGAUAGGACAAGGGGGAAUGGUUUUAAACUAAGACAGAGGAGGUUUAGGUUAGAUAUUAGGAGGAAGUUUUUCACACAGAGGGUGGUGAUGCACUGGAACAGGUUGCCCAAGGAGGUUGUGGAUUCCCCAUCCCUGGAGGCAUUCAAGGCCAGGCUGGAUGUGGCUCUGGGCAGCCUGGUCUGGUGGUUGGUGACCUUGCACAUAGCAGGGGGUUGAAACUAGGUGAUCAUUGUGGUUCUUUUCAACCCAGACCUUUCUGUGAUUCUAUAAUUCUAUGACUGGUGUAAGGACAGAGGCUGUACGCUACUGUUCAUCAUCACAUCCAAGUCCCCUUCCUAAUCAUAUCUAAGGCUAAUGAGGAAAUCACAGAAUCACAGAAUGACCCGGGUUGGAAGGGACUUCAAGGAUCAUGAAGCUCCAUGCUUUCCCCUUCAAUUAUUAUUCCUUCCUUCCUUCCUUCCUUCCUUCCUUCCUUCCUUCCUUCCUUCCUUCCUUCCUUAUUAAUUUAUUUAUUUACUUUUGGAGGUAUGAGACAUGAUUGCAAAAGCCAUUAUUAUAAUUUUCAGCAGCAGAAGCUUGAGAAUAUUAGGAAGAGAUGAGGCAACUCCAGGUCAGUCUUUGAUAUCUCAUUGCCAUGUUAUUCUGGCACUCUUUGCUGUCUUCAUCUGCUGCCUGCAAGUUGAUUAAUCAAAUUCUUUGAAUACUAAACUGCAGUGCAACCCAAUUCUACUAACUUGGCCUCUACUCAAACUCAGA
rnacentral:lncRNA from 1 species